AUGAGAAGCUUCACUCGUCCUAAAGUGAGCGUCCUGCCGCCCUCCAGUGAAGAGAUUUCCACAAAGAAAACAGCAACACUGAUGUGUGUGCUCAACAAGGGUUUCCCCUCAGACUGGAGUGUGAUGUGGAAGGUGGACGGGAGCAGCAGAUCUCAGGACAGCAGUGUUGGGCUCCUGGAGAAGGACGGUCUGUACAGCUGGAGCAGCAGUCUGACUCUCUCUGAGCAGGAGUGGAGCUCAGUGCUCUCAGUGAGCUGUGAGGCCAAACACAAAGAUCCCAGUCAUACAGUCACUGGAGAAUUCAGGAGAGAUGAUGAGUGUUCACACUAG